AAACUAGGAGAUAAAUUGGGUGUAGUCUUUCCAUGAUUACUAAUCACAGCUGACAUUCACAUAGAACUUUAUAGUUUGAAAAAUUCUUUCCUCACAACUACAGAUGAGAAAACUGAUAUUUAGAGAAAUUAAGGUCACAGAACUAGUUAAAGGGACAGCAUCUCAACUAAAAAUGACAUUUCUGACACCCAGUCCUGCACUUCUUUCUCUCCCUACCAUGCUCUGGGCAAAGUAGACCUCAGAGAAAGUAUCCAUUUGCUGCUGGAGGGCAAGAGGAAGAAAAGGAAGUACCCUAUCCUUACCAGCUUGCUCUGUGCAGUCCAGAGCCUUGUGUCCCCUGAAUUUGACUUUUGUGUGCCUUAGUAUGAUGACAAUGAAAUAGACAGUGAGACUGUACUGAUUCAGAGUAGCUCACGCAAGGUCUGCACUCUGGUGAUCCCUGCAGACCUGUAAUCUUGACAAACUGUCCAAUGCGUCCACUGAAGUGCCUGAAGUGAAUUGCGUUGCACAAAGUCAUCAGCCUCACUCUCUUUUCCAGAAUCGUCAAAAUCCAUUGGCAGGACAAAAGUCUAGAUGACUGGUGAUGGCCCAGGAUGCAGUGGAUGACCUUGGUAUCUUCAAUGUCCAUCCAGCCUCUAAAGACUCCACGGUGUCUGCUUCAGGAACAUAGGAACAAAUUGUUCUCAUCUUCCCCUUUUGCCAGGGGAAAUCUUCAUAUGCUUGAAGGAGACUUCUCUUUAACUCACUGAUAGGCUGCCUGGAAGUCCCUGAAACAUCUCAAACUACAUCUUCAUUUCUGUUUUCCUGAUGAGACAUUGAUCCUAUAUGACAAAGGGCCUUUGAUUCUUCUCAAAAGCCUCAACAGCAAGAGAACUCAAUCAUCUCUGUUACUUAUCUGAAGAAGACCUACCAGUCAUUAUAGCAUGAGGAACCUCCAACUACCAAAGGAAACUGAGGCUUAUUCUUAAAUGGAUGGUCUUCUAAGAGAGUUGCCUGGGGCAUUGAGAAGUGACUGGCUAGGACUCACACAAGAAAACACACCUAGAGCUCCCCACCUCUGAGGCCAAUUCUAUCCUCUAUAUCCAAAUUGCCUCUCUGCCUUGCAUAUAGUACAUGCUUAAUAAGUGUGUUCAAUUGCCAUCAAAUCUUUUGUCCUUUCUUUCCUUCCUUCGCUUUCCCUUCUUUUCUCUUUCUCUUUUCCUUCUCUUUCCCAUUCCUUAUCUGACAUACCCCCCUCCCUUUUCUUUUCCUCCCUUGACUCCCCCCUCAUCUGAACUAGGUUCACUUUUGUCUUGCUGUCAAUUUUUUUUUUUAAGAAAGAAGCUUUCUUUGCCUACAGUAGCACCCACUCACCCUUAAUGUCCUAUUGAUUCGUUUAAAACAGGAUGUCUUUUUAAAUGCCAAAAUUGAGGACACAGUGGAUUUUCCACUCCUUUGUUCAAAAAGGGAAAGAUACCGAGGUCCGCAGCCUUUGCUACGCCGGGCUGUUAAGAGUCGGUGAAACGUAGCUGACGGCUCUUUGCCCAUAGGAAUGCUUCCUCGGACCCUGUCCUCUCUGUGCUUCCUGGAAAUCAGGGCAUGUCAUCGGGCGGUCUGCAUGGGUGAUCCUAGGGCAGAGCCAUGGGGCAAAUGAACCGAGCGAUGCGUCCUGCCAGUUCAACCGCACUUCCGCCAUGCCCACCCUGAGCCUCUCCCUACAACAACUGCUAUCUUGGAGGCAUCUCUCUCAGCACCCGCGCCCCUGGAAUCCGUUAGUGCCUGGCGGGGCAGAUGGAGGCUAGGAAACCGAGCAGAUGCGGGGGAGCUAAUCUGGCGGCGGCCCAGCAGGGAAACGAGGAGGAGCUCGCAUUCCCAGCCCUUCAUGGGGCUUAAUUAAAGAGCUUUGAGCCUCCUUUUGUUUUA